ACGCGUGAGAACAUGCCUUUAGAUUGGGACAACAGUUGGAAACGACUGCUAAUACCGAAUGUGCCUUAGGGUGAAAGAUUUAUUUGUCUAGAGAUUGGCUCGCGUCAGAUUAGCUAGUUGGAGUGGUAACGGCACACCAAGGCGACGAUCUGUACUUGGUCUGAGAGGAUGACCAGGCACACUGGAACUGAGACACGGUCCAGACUCCUACGGGAGGCAGCAGUGGGGAAUCCGCAAUGGGCGAAAGCCUGACGGAGCAAUACCGCGUGAGGGAGGACGGCUUUUGGGUUGUAAACCUCUUUUAUCAGGGAAGAAUCGAUGACGGUACCUGAUGAAUCAGCAUCGGCUAACUCCGUGCCAGCAGCCGCGGUAAUACGGAGGAUGCAAGCGUUAUCCGGAAUUAUUGGGCGUAAAGCGUCCGUAGGUGGUUUAUCAAGUCUGCUGUCAAAGCGUGCGGCUUAACCGCAUAAGGGCAGUGGAAACUGAUGAACUAGAGUGCGAUAGGGGUAACAGGAAUUCCCAGUGUAGCGGUGAAAUGCGUAGAUAUUGGGAAGAACACCAGCGGCGAAAGCGUGUUACUGGGUCUGCACUGACACUGAGGGACGAAAGCUAGGGGAGCGAAUGGGAUUAGAUACCCCU
rnacentral:rRNA from 3 species